AACGAACGCUGGCGGCAGGCUUAACACAUGCAAGUCGAGCGCCCCGCAAGGGGAGCGGCAGACGGGUGAGUAACACGUGGGAACCUUCCUAGAGGUACGGAACAACUCAGGGAAACUUGAGCUAAUACCGUAUACGCUCUUGCGAGGAAAGAUUUAUCGCCUUUAGACGGGCCCGCGUCGGAUUAGCUAGUUGGUGGGGUAACAGCCUACCAAGGCGACGAUCCGUAGCUGAUCUGAGAGGAUGAUCAGCCACACUGGGACUGAGACACGGCCCAGACUCCUACGGGAGGCAGCAGUGGGGAAUCUUGGACAAUGGGCGCAAGCCUGAUCCAGCCAUGCCGCGUGAGUGAAGAAGGCCUUCGGGUUGUAAAGCUCUUUUGCCAGGGACGAUAAUGACGGUACCUGGAGAAUAAGCCCCGGCAAACUUCGUGCCAGCCGCCGCAGUAA
rnacentral:rRNA from 1 species